GCAAACUUGGUCAUUUAGAGGAAGUAAAAGUCAUAACAAGGUUUCCGUAGGUGAACCUGCGGAAGGAUCAUUUGAGAUUGUGUGGGCUUCAUGGUUUUGGCCUUGGAGUCCCUGGGGGAGAUGCUUGCAGCCUUUCACUGUUUCGGAGCGGGUAUCAGGGUUUUGCCUUGGGCUAUUCCUUCUGGUUGGUUACAUCAUCCAAGGAGGCCGCCACGCUCCGCACUUUGGCCUUGGCUUGCUUCAGCCUCCCCUCGCACCACAACAUUGUGAACAGUGGCUCCGGCCCAAACUCUUAGUAAUGGAUGUGAAAACUGUAACAGAAAACAACUUUCAACAACGGAUCUCUUGGCUCUCGCAUCGAUGAAGAACGCAGC
rnacentral:misc_RNA from 1 species